AAGCGCUCCGGGGUCGGUGCAAGUCCGAACCGGUGGUGACAGUCCACGAGCUGACGACGGGUCCACGCCCGACCGAUGCUGACCCGGUGUGAACUCCGGGACCGACGGUGAGAGUCCGGAUGGAAGGAUGCGCUG
rnacentral:ncRNA from 2 species